UACCAUGCAGUCGAGCGCGAAAGUUUUCGGAUGAGUAGAGCGGCGAACGGGUGAGUAACGCGUGGGAAUCUGCCUGGUAAUGGGGGACAACAUCUCGAAAGGGAUGCUAAUACCGCAUACGCCCUAAGGGGGAAAGUGGGGGAUCUUCGGACCUCACGUUAUCAGAGGAGCCCGCGUCGGAUUAGCUAGUAGGUAGGGUAAAGGCCUACCUAGGCGACGAUCCGUAACUGGUCUGAGAGGAUGAUCAGUCACACUGGAACUGAGACACGGUCCAGACUCCUACGGGAGGCAGCAGUGGGGAAUAUUGGACAAUGGGGGCAACCCUGAUCCAGCCAUGCCGCGUGUGUGAAGAAGGCCUUCGGGUUGUAAAGCACUUUAAGUUGGGAGGAAGGCUUCACGGAUAAUACCUGUGAGGAUUGACGUUACCAACAGAAUAAGCACCGGCUAACUCCGUGCCAGCAGCCGCGGUAAUACGGAGGGUGCAAGCGUUAAUCGGAAUUACUGGGCGUAAAGCGCGCGUAGGCGGCCAUUUUAGCUAGAUUUGAAAGCCCAGGGUCUUAACCUUUGGAACUGCAUUUAGAACU
rnacentral:rRNA from 1 species